UCCUGGCCGCCGGGCUUCCGUAGCGUUCUGAGCCCCGAAAGGCCAAGGAUCUGGGGGAGAGUGUUAAGGCGAUGCCCCUUCAAAGCAGAACGAUCCAGCUCAGGACAGCGGGUCGGAGCGCCAGCAGGGACUUUCUGGACAUUUGGGCGUGGGUCAGUUUGUUGUUCAGGAUGGUUCAAAGUAAUCCCCGCUCCCUGCCAGAGCCCCUCGUUGUGUUUGGCCAUUGUGAUUUGGUAAAAUUUGAUUGCUCUGGAAACUCAUUCCACAAAAUACGUUACAUGUGAGCAGAA